CUCCUACGGGAGGCAGCAGUGGGGAAUAUUGCGCAAUGGCCGAAAGGCUGACGCAGCGACGCCGCGUGUGGGAUGAAGGUCUUCGGAUCGUAAACCACUGUCGCGAGGGACGAAAUUCUGACGGUACCUCGAAAGGAAGCACCGGCUAACUCUGUGCCAGCAGCCGCGGUAAUACAGAGGGUGCGAGCGUUGUCCGGAAUCACUGGGCGUAAAGGGCGCGUAGGCGGCCUGGUAAGUAGGGGGUGAAAUCCUGCGGCUCAACCGCAGGGCUGCCUUCUAGACUGUCAGGCUUGAGCACGGUAGAGGCGGAUGGAAUUCCCGGUGUAGCGGUGGAAUGCGUAGAGAUCGGGAAGAACAUCGGUGGCGAAGGCGGUCCGCUGGGCCGUUGCUGACGCUGAGGCGCGACAGCGUGGGGAGCAAACAGGAUUAGAUACCCUGGUAGUCCACGCCGUAAACGAUGGACACUAGGCGUCGGGGGGAGCGACCCUCCCGGUGCCGUCGCUAACGCAGUAA
rnacentral:rRNA from 1 species